GCCAGGCGCGGUGGUGCCUGCCUGUAGUCCCAGUUACUCGGGAGGCUGAGGCUGGAGGAUCUCUUGAGCCCAGGAGUUCUGGGCUGCAGUGCGCUAUGCUGAUCGGGUGUCCACACUAAGUUCGGCAUCAGUAUGGUGACCUCCUGGGAGUAGGGGACCACCAGGUUGCCUAAGGAGGGGUGAACCGGCCCAGGUCAGAAACGGAGCAGGUCAAAACUCCCAUGCUGAUCAGCAGUGGGAUCGCACCUGUGAAUAGCCACUGCACUCCAGCCUGGGCAACAAGUGAGACCCCGUCUCU
rnacentral:SRP_RNA from 1 species